GGGUGAAAACAUUUAGAAACCGUCCUUUUGGUCCAGCCUGACUCCCUGUCUCCUGCUGUGGAAUGGUGUGGAAUUCCAAUCCUGUUAGAACUGGUGGAAAGCAGGGCUUGGGAAUCACACACCCAAGCUUCACCCUUCCUCACUGCAGGGGUGUGGAAGGAAGUUCAGAUGGAGGAGCCCAGGGAUCUCACCAAGAUGCCACAGGAUUUCCAGCAAUUUUUCUUCUCUCUGUGUGUUGAACAUCCCUCAGUGUCAGAGAGUUCUUCCUUAUGUCUUACCAGACUCUCUCUUGCUGCCGGACCAGCCCAGAUGCUCCUCCUAGUGGCCAAUCUCCAGAGCACGUGGGAGACCCCAGCUUGUGUCCCCUGCCUUCUUCCGCCAGCUGCGAUGACCUGGGUGAGGAGGAUGCUUUCCCAAGAUUGGAAUGGUGACAAUGGAUACAACUUGCCCAGGAGAUUUUGAUGCAACUACAUAUGUUUCUAGUCCCUUAUCUUCUUGCUAUAGACCUGGAAACCGAGGUCCAAGUUGGAUAAGCUCCCGAUUUAAGUCAUAUAACUAUUUACCA